GAGGGUUAUACUGUCUCCUUUCUCUAAUCAGUGAAACUAAUCUCCCCGUGAAGAAGCGGGGAUAAAACUAUAAGACGAGAAGACCCCAUGGAGCUUUAAACCUAGCCACACCCAGAAUCUUUAUACCUAACUAUUAUCUGAACCCUGUAAGCUAGGCUUUAGGUUGGGGUGACCGCGGAGUAAAACAAAACCUCCGCAAUGAACGAAACUACCGUCUUAUCUAAGAAUAAUCCCUCUAAGAAUUAGCACUCUAACAUAAAUGAUCCAAUUAUUGAUCAACGGACCAAGUUACCCUGGGGAUAACAGCGCAAUCCACUUCAAGAGCUCCUAUCGACAGGUGGGUUUACGACCUCGAUGUUGGA
rnacentral:rRNA from 1 species